GCCCGGGUGGUGAAAUUGGUAGACACGCACGCUUGAGGGGCGUGUGUCGCAAGACGUGCUGGUUCAAGUCCAGUCCCGGGCACCA
rnacentral:tRNA from 1 species